rnacentral:rRNA from 1 species
CAAUAGCGUAUAUUAAAGUUGUUGCAGUUAAAAAGCUCGUAGUCGGAUUUUGGCAUCACGCCGAACUGUCUGCCGAUUGGUAAGUACGGUUUGGCGGGUGCUUCCUUCCGGAGGCUCGUUCCCUUCUUCAUUGAAGGGUUCGUUGGUUCCGGGUCUUUUACUUUGAGAAAAUUAGAGUGUUCAAAGCAGGCCAACGCAUUGAAUACAUUAGCAUGGAAUAAUGGAAUAGGACUUUGGUCUUAUUUUGUUGGUUUCUAAGGCCGAGGUAAUGAUUAAUAGGGAUAGUUGGGGGUAUUCGUAUUUAAUUGUCAGAGGUGAAAUUCUUGGAUUUAUGAAAGACGAACUACUGCGAAAGCAUUUACCAAAGAUGUUUUCAUUAAUCAAGAACGAAAGUUAGGGGAUCGAAGAUGAUCAGAUACCAU